rnacentral:rRNA from 1 species
UACGUAGGGCGCAAGCGUUAUCCGGAAUUAUUGGGCGUAAAGAGCUCGUAGGCGGUUUGUCGCGUCUGCCGUGAAAGUCCGGGGCUCAACUCCGGAUCUGCGGUGGGUACGGGCAGACUAGAGUGAUGUAGGGGAGACUGGAAUUCCUGGUGUAGCGGUGAAAUGCGCAGAUAUCAGGAGGAACACCGGUGGCGAAGGCGGAUCUCUGGGCCGUAACUGACGCUGAGGAGCGAAAGCAUGGGGAGCAAACAGG